rnacentral:rRNA from 1 species
CCUACGGGGGGCAGCAGUGGGGAAUAUUGCACAAUGGGGGCAACCCUGAUGCAGCGACGCCGCGUGAGUGAAGAAGUAUUUCGGUAUGUAAAGCUCUAUCAGCAGGGAAGAUAAUGACGGUACCUGACUCAGUAGCACCGUCAAACUACGUGCCAGCAGCCGCGGUAAUACGUAGGGGGCAAGCGUUAUCCGGUUUAUUGGGUGUAAAGGGUGCGUAGGUGGGAAGGCAAGUCAGAUGUGAAAGCCAGGAGCUCAACCCCGGUAGUGCAGUUGAAACUGUCCAGCUGGAGUGAAGGAGAGGUAAGCGGAAUGCGUGGUGUAGCGGUGAAAUGCGUAGAUAUUAGGAGGAACACCAGUGGCGAAGGCGGCUUACUGGACUGUAACUGACACUGAGGCACGAAAGCGUGGGGAGCGAACAGGAUUAGAUACCCUAGUAGUC